GUGUAACACUGUGCCACUCCGCUGUAUAACCACAGUGACACAUGCCCAUACAAAAACCUCCCCAGUCCAGCAUGUAGCAGAGGAUUUUUUUGGGACACAGAAACAAAGGACCUACAGAGUCGAAGAAUGUCUAAAACAUUGACCAAAGUCUUAAAUGUCAAACUGUCAUCAAGGAGAAGUCCAGAGAGAACAGUCAAAGCAGCAGAUGCUGUCACGGCCAGGGCUUAUUCCAAUGCGCCCUCAUCUGUGUGCUCUGCUUGUUGCGCCUCCAAGAGCGCACCUCGGGACACGCCCACAACCGCACACUGCACACCGCUGCAGCCGGCAGCUGCAAUCAUUCACCGGCAAUCAGCGCACCUGAAGCUGAUCAUCAGAGGACUGCCUUCAAAAGCCUGCUCAACCUGCUAUCCGGGGCCAGAACGUAAAUCAGCUGUUCGAGAACCUAUCCUCCGUCGCCUUGGAAGUGAGCUGUGCGCCUCACUUCCCUGGACCCCCUCUGGAUUCUGACUGCCUUCCACGAUCCUCGACCCCCGCUCUGGACACGGAUCUGUUGACGCCUCGCUAUACCCCUCAGACUACCUGCCUGUCUCACAGACCUCCGUGAUCUGCCUUGUCCCUCCUCUCGUUCAACAUUACGACCAAAGCUGCAGAGAUAAUCCACCAGAGACUUCAUCCCUCCUCUCUGACAUACACACAUCAGCAAGUGAUCACAUUUGACACUCAACAUACGUACACUCAAUAAAGACAGCGUACAUACAUAUAUACAUACAUACACAAAAUAUGUGCAUUUUUAAUAUAUAUUUCUUUACAAAAGCAGACAUGAGCCAGAAACAAGCCUGCAUCUUCCUCAAAGGGGCGUCGAGGAGACAAGUAAGUCACAUUUCAAGGAAUUACAAGCAAAAUAUUCAAAGAGACAAGCUAAAAGUUCAACUUAAUACAUUUUUUGCAGAAAUAUGGUGUUGUGUUUAUGGCUAAAUUUGUGUAUUAAAAUGGGGGAAUAAUAAUAAAAACAAAUGCAAA